AUGUCGUGGAUGUAGGGGAGA
rnacentral:miRNA from 1 species